rnacentral:lncRNA from 1 species
ACCAAGAUAUGGUCCACACAGGCCUGGAUUGCCAACGAAAGAUGUGGCAUUGAAGUAGGUGAACUGCCCAGUCCCCGGCACAAGCCCAGACAAGUUGUUAUACGAGAAGUCGACUGCUGUCAAGCUCUGCAUUGUCGCGAUGGAUGGAGGUAUCUCUCCAUCAAGGUGGUUCCGGGAUAGGUUGAGGUAGUUCAGUAUCCACAUUCCAGAGAUGGCCGGAGGUAUCUUCCCAGAGAGGUUGUUUUGGCUCAUGUCCAAGUAAGUGAGAAGCCGGCAUUUCCCAAUCUCUGGUGGCACACCUCCCUCAAACUUGUUGCUGCUAAGGUCAGCCUUGGAGAGCUGCUGCAGCCGCCCAAUCUCCGGAGGCACG